CACACACAUAUAUACACACACACACCCACCAUCAUUAUUCACGAUGUAGUUACACGUACACACACACACGGAAUCCUUUCUCUGUGACAGCCAGCACAUCGUUCCACAGACUCACUGCACCGUAUGUUAAGGGCAUGACAGUAUUUCAUGUGAUUUUUUUAAACUAACCUGUGUAUUAAGAGGGUAUAUUUCUUCAAUGCUGCGUCAUGUUCGUGUAGGUAAUGUAUCACUGCCCUGCUAGUCGUCUGAGAGUGGUUGUAUGGAGUGAAUACGAGUGAUCUUAAGUGAUCUUAAGGUGUGUGGAGUGAUCUCAAGUGAUCUUAAGGUGUGUGGAGUGAACACCACUGAUCUUAAGGUGUGUGGAGUUAAUGCGAGUGAUCUUAAGGUGUGUGGAGUGGAGUGAAUACGAGUGAUCUUAAGGUGUGUGGAGUGAUCUUAAGUGAUCUUAAGGUGUGUGGAGUGAAUAAGAGUGAUCUUAAGGUGUGUUGUACCUAAAUAUCUGGAUCAUAAAAUCCAUACUCAAGUACCAGAGUAUUAAUGGUAGAGCUGCAGAAAGUUUACAAAACCUUAUAACC
ensembl:lncRNA